AACUGAAAACUUUUUGUAAGACUAUUUAAAAGUUUGAUCGAAAAUUUUGGAAAAAUUGCACCUAAUUAUGCAUCCUAAAUCAAAUAAAGAAUAAUCAGAAACAUAGACUGAAAAUAAAUAUUUUAUACAAAUUUUUCUAUCAUAAUUCAUAUAGAACAUAGAGCAUACCUUGCGAUUAGAAAGAGAAGCCUCUGGUGCUCUUACUCUUAAACAACAUGGGGAAAUCGAAAUUAUCCAUUAAUAUAAUUAUAUCAGUUGCAUCAUUCUGCUCUUGGAACCAUGAACUCGGCCUAGCUCUAGCUAGUUCUCUGUCAGACUGAUC
rnacentral:lncRNA from 1 species